GAUGAACGCUAGCGGGAGGCCUAACACAUGCAAGCCGAGCGGUAGAGAUUCUUCGGAAUCUUGAGAGCGGCGUACGGGUGCGGAACACGUGUGCAACCUGCCUUUAUCAGGGGGAUAGCCUUUCGAAAGGAAGAUUAAUACCCCAUAAUAUAUUGAAUGGCAUCAUUUGAUAUUGAAAACUCCGGUGGAUAGAGAUGGGCACGCGCAAGAUUAGAUAGUUGGUGAGGUAACGGCUCACCAAGUCUACGAUCUUUAGGGGGCCUGAGAGGGUGAUCCCCCACACUGGUACUGAGACACGGACCAGACUCCUACGGGAGGCAGCAGUGAGGAAUAUUGGACAAUGGGUGAGAGCCUGAGUCCAGCCAUCCCGCGUGAAGGACGACGGCCCUAUGGGUUGUAAACUUCUUUUGUAUAGGGAUAACCUAGAUACGUGUAUCUAGCUGAAGGUACUAUACGAAUAAGCACCGGCUAACUCCGUGCCAGCAGCCG
rnacentral:rRNA from 1 species